AUUGAACGCUGGCGGCAGGCCUAACACAUGCAAGUCGAGCGGAUGAAGGGAGCUUGCUCCUGGAUUCAGCGGCGGACGGGUGAGUAAUGCCUAGGAAUCUGCCUGGUAGUGGGGGAUAACGUCCGGAAACGGGCGCUAAUACCGCAUACGUCCUGAGGGAGAAAGUGGGGGAUCUUCGGACCUCACGCUAUCAGAUGAGCCUAGGUCGGAUUAGCUAGUUGGUGGGGUAAAGGCCUACCAAGGCGACGAUCCGUAACUGGUCUGAGAGGAUGAUCAGUCACACUGGAACUGAGACACGGUCCAGACUCCUACGGGAGGCAGCAGUGGGGAAUAUUGGACAAUGGGCGAAAGCCUGGUCCAGCCAUGCCGCGUGUGUGAAGAAGGUCUUCGGAUUGUAAAGCACUUUAAGUUGGGAGGAAGGGCAGUAAGUUAAUACCUUGCUGUUUUGACGUUACCAGCAGAAUAAGCACCGGCUAACUUCGUG
rnacentral:rRNA from 1 species